rnacentral:tRNA from 1 species
CCUUCGAUAGCUCAGUUGGUAGAGCGGAGGACUGUAGGCUUCUUGAACAAGACAUCCUUAGGUCGCUGGUUCGAAUCCGGCUCGAAGGA